CCCUUAGACGUUCUGGGCCGCACGCGCGCUACACUGACACCGGCAACGAGCUUUCCUUUACCGAAAGGUAUGGGUAAUCUUUUGAAACUGUGUCGUGCUGGGGAUAGAUCCUUGCAAUUUUUGAUCUUAAACGAGGAAUUCCUAGUAAGCGCGAGUCAUCAACUCGCGUUGAUUACGUCCCUGCCCUUUGUACACACCGCCCGUCGCUACUACCGAUUGAAUGGCUUAGUGAGGCCUCAGGAUCCGCGCUUAAUGUGUGGAGAAUUUGGACAAACUACGUCAUUUAGAGGAAGUAAAAGUCGUAACA
rnacentral:rRNA from 1 species